GACGAACGCUGGCGGCGUGCUUAACACAUGCAAGUCGAACGGAAAGGCCCUGCUUUUGUGGGGUGCUCGAGUGGCGAACGGGUGAGUAACACGUGAGUAACCUGCCCUUGACUUUGGGAUAACUUCAGGAAACUGGGGCUAAUACCGGAUAGGAGCUCCUGCUGCAUGGUGGGGGUUGGAAAGUUUCGGCGGUUGGGGAUGGACUCGCGGCUUAUCAGCUUGUUGGUGGGGUAGUGGCUUACCAAGGCUUUGACGGGUAGCCGGCCUGAGAGGGUGACCGGCCAAUUGGGGCAGAGAAAACGGCCCAGACCCCUAGGGGAGGAGGAGGGGGGGAAUAUUGCAAAAGGGGGGGAAGCCGGAUGCAGCAACGCCGGGGGGGGAAGGAGGGCCUUGGGGUUGAAAACCGCUUUCGCCGGGAACGAGGGGGGGGGGACGGUAAUGGGGAAAGAAACACCGGCUAACUACGU
rnacentral:rRNA from 1 species